rnacentral:rRNA from 1 species
UACGUAGGGGGCAAGCGUUGUCCGGAAUUAUUGGGCGUAAAGCGCGCGUAGGCGGCUACUUAAGUCGGAUGUGAAAGCCCUUGGCUCAACUGAGGAAGUGCACCCGAAACUGAGUGGCUUGAGUACUGAAGAGGGUCGCGGAAUUCCCGGUGUAGAGGUGAAAUUCGUAGAUAUCGGGAGGAACACCGGUGGCGAAGGCGGCGACCUGGGUAGAUACUGACGCUGAGGCGCGAAAGCGUGGGGAGCAAACAGG